rnacentral:rRNA from 1 species
AUUGAACGCUGGCGGCAUGCCUUACACAUGCAAGUCGAACGGCAGCACGGGAGCAAUCCUGGUGGCGAGUGGCGAACGGGUGAGUAAUAUAUCGGAACGUGCCCAGUCGUGGGGGAUAACGUAGCGAAAGCUACGCUAAUACCGCAUACGAUCCAUGGAUGAAAGGGGGGGAUCGCAAGACCUUGCGCGAUUGGAGCGGCCGAUAUCAGAUUAGCUAGUUGGUGGGGUAAAAGCCCACCAAGGCGACGAUCUGUAGCUGAUCUGAGAGGACGACCAGCCACACUGGAACUGAGACACGGUCCAGACUCCUACGGGAGGCAGCAGUGGGGAAUUUUGGACAAUGGGCGAAAGCCUGAUCCAGCAAUGCCGCGUGCAGGACGAAGGCCUUCGGGUUGUAAACUGCUUUUGUACGGAGCGAAACGGUCCUCUCUAAUACAGGGGGCUAAUGACGGUACCGUAAGAAUAAGCACCGGCUAACUACGUGCCAGCCGCCGCCGUAA